AUGGAUUCUGUGCUUGGCUGGGUUUUCCCUGUUGCUCUUUUCAAAGGUGUCCAGUGUGAGGUGCACCUGGUGGAUCCUGGGGGAGACCUCGUGAAGCCUGGCAGUACCUUGAGACACUCCUGUGCAGCCUCUGGAUUCACCUUCAGUAGCUAUGCCAUGUGCUGGGUCCGCCAGGCUCCAGGGAAGGGGCUGCAGUGGGAUGCAGGUAUUAGCAGUGGUGGAAGUUACAUAUACUCCACAGACUCUAUGAAGGGCCGAUUUACCAUCUCCAGAAACAAUGGUAAGAACAUGCUGUAUCCACAGAUGAACAGCCUGAGAGCUGAGGACACAGCUGUGUAUUACUGUGCAAAGGACACAGUGAGGGAAAUCACUGUGAGCCCAGAGACAAAGCUCACAGAAGUGGAUCUGGACCACCAGGGGGUGCACAGUACUCACCAAUUCUGUAUUUAA